GACGAACGCUGGCGGCGUGCUUAACACAUGCAAGUCGAACGGUGAAGGGACCGGUUUUUGCUGGUUCUGGUUGAGUGGCGAACGGGUGAGUAACACGUGAGUCACCUGCCCCCUUCUUCUGGAUAACCGCAUGAAAGUGUGGCUAAUACGGGAUAUUCUGCGCCUGCUGCAUGGUGGGUGUGGGAAAGAUAUUGUUUCGGUGGGGGAUGGGCUCGCGGCCUAUCAGCUUGUUGGUGGGGUGAUGGCCUACCAAGGCGGUGACGGGUAGCCGGCCUGAGAGGGUGGACGGUCACACUGGGACGGAGACACGGCCCAGACUCCUACGGGAGGCAGCAGUGGGGAAUAUUGCACAAUGGGCGCAAGCCUGAUGCAGCGACGCCGCGUGAGGGAUGGAGGCCUUCGGGUUGUAAACCUCUUUCGCCAGUGAAGCAGGCCUGUCCCUUUUGUGGGUGGGUUGACGGUAGCUGGAUAAGAAGCGCCGGCUAACUACGUG
rnacentral:rRNA from 1 species